rnacentral:rRNA from 1 species
UACAGAGGUCCCAAGCGUUGUUCGGAGUUACUGGGCGUAAAGAGUGCGUAGGCGGUUUUCUAAGUUUGGUGUGAAAUCUCCCGGCUCAACUGGGAGGGUGCGCCGAAGACUGGAAGGCUUGAGUAUGGGAGAGGUAAGCGGAAUUCCUGGUGUAGCGGUGAAAUGCGUAGAUAUCAGGAGGAACACCUGCGGUGUAGACGGCUUACUGGACCAUAACUGACGCUGAGGCACGAAAGCGUGGGUAGCAAACAGG